rnacentral:rRNA from 1 species
AGCAGUAGGGAAUCUUCCACAAUGGGCGCAAGCCUGAUGGAGCAACACCGCGUGAGUGAAGAAGGGUUUCGGCUCGUAAAGCUCUGUUGUUAAAGAAGAACACGUAUGAGAGUAACUGUUCAUACGUUGACGGUAUUUAACCAGAAAGUCACGGCUAACUACGUGCCAGCAGCCGCGGUAAUACGUAGGUGGCAAGCGUUAUCCGGAUUUAUUGGGCGUAAAGAGAGUGCAGGCGGUUUUCUAAGUCUGAUGUGAAAGCCUUCGGCUUAACCGGAGAAGUGCAUCGGAAACUGG